UACGUAGGGUGCAAGCGUUGUCCGGAAUUAUUGGGCGUAAAGAGCUCGUAGGCGGCUAGUCGCGUCGACUGUGAAAACCCGGGGCUCAACUCCGGGCCUGCAGUCGAUACGGGCUGGCUUGAGUGCGGUAGGGGAGACUGGAAUUCCUGGUGUAGCGGUGAAAUGCGCAGAUAUCAGGAGGAACACCGGUGGCGAAGGCGGCAUCCUGGACCAACACUGACACUGAGGAGCGAAAGCAUGGGGAGCGAACAGG
rnacentral:rRNA from 1 species